rnacentral:rRNA from 1 species
CGGAGCAAUCUGUGUGAGUGGCGGACGGGUGAGUAACACGUGGGUACCUACCCUGUGGUGAGGAAUACCGGCGAGAAAUCGCCGACAAUACCGCAUAGGUUUCGGCAACGAAACAAAGCUUCGCAAGAGGCGCCAGGGGAAGGGCCUGCGGCCGAUUAGCUAGUUGGUGGGGUAAAAGCCUACCAAGGCGACGAUCGGUAGCUGGUCUGAGAGGAUGAUCAGCCACACUGGGAUUGAGAACGGCCCAGACUCCUACGGGGGGCAGCAGUGAGGAAUAUUCGUCAAUGGGGGAAACCCUGAACGAGCAACGCCGCGUGCAGGAAGAAGGUUUUCGGA